UACAGAGGUCUCAAGCGUUUGUUCGGAUUCAUUGGGCGUAAAGGGUGCGUAGGUGGCGCCGUAAGUCGGGUGUGAAAUUUCGGAGCUUAACUCCGAAACUGCAUUCGAUACUGCGGUGCUUGAGGACUGGAGAGGAGACUGGAAAUUCAUGGUGUAGCAGUGAAAUGCGUAGAGAUCAUGAGGAAGACCAGUGGCGAAGGCGGGUCUCUGGACAGUUCCUGACACUGAGGCACGAAGGCCAGGGAGCAAACGGG
rnacentral:rRNA from 1 species